CACUUCCGGGAGGAGUCGGUGAAAUUCAAGCUACGUGCGGCGACGGAUGUCAAACACAACAUCGUUUGUGUAAUUCGCAGAAAUCGUGGUUAUGUAUUUCCACAAUAACUGUCUUUACGAAGACACGUAACGGAGAGAAGCCACGCCCCCUUCCAGGUCCGCGCGAGCAAUGCGGGGCGAAAAUUCGCUUCGCUUUUGGUGUGAACUAAGCCUACAAGUUUGAACAAAAAACAACAGGUGUGAACAAACAAAUUGAGCUAAAGGAACGAGACAAAACGCAAACUAGCCUGCAGCCUGAUGGUUUAUGACUGAAGCACACGUCUGCUCAUGCUCAGCCUUAUUCCUCAUACGAAGAUCCGAAACAUCUCAACAAGGGGAUCUGUCUCCAGGCAGUGUGGAACCGAGUGGAUUAGGGAAGCCUUCAGCGUCAAAGUGCCACAACAAGCAUUAAAGCCAUAUUAACUUUCCAUUAAACACCACCUCGAUCUGUGGAGGGAGAGAAAGACACAAGCCCUGGGAUAAAGCCCCUUCGAGCGAGAGUGAGAGAGCGAGUGUGUAUGUGUGUCGCCCUCAAUGCACCUGUUCCUUCAAUGUACUUCUUAAUAAAGGAAAAGACAAUGACAACAAUA